rnacentral:lncRNA from 1 species
AAACAAUGUGGACAAACACAUUGGAAAGUGUAAGUCAGGUGCUAUUUUGAUGAAAAUUGCAACAUCGGCAGACAAGAAAUCAAAUGUUAGGCAAUUUCCAAUGAGAGCGGCCAAACAAAAGCAACAAAUACGUAUCGAAGUCCAACCGUUCAAAAAAUAAAAGAUGAUUUUUCAAUACCUUUUGAACAAGCUGGAGGACAACGAAAUAGAAGUACAACUUGAAGAUUAUACAAGUUUGUAAAAUAAGGUACAACAAUCAAUUGGGUCCUACAUUUUACUCUACCACUUCAUUAGUAUCCUCAAUUGUAAUCUCAUCACAAAGUAUGUUAUAAACUCUGUGAGGGGUACCACAUUUUACUCUACCACUUCUUUAGUAUCUUCACUUGUAAUCUCAUCAUAGAGUAUGUUAUAAACUCUAUGAUGAUCAUAAAAUAUUUAGUCAUGUCAAGUUCUUAUUUUAUGCGUUCUUGUUAAUAAGUAAGCUUGUCAAGCCUCAAUAGGAUUAGUACGGUAAGGUUAACCCGGUUUCAAUAUCGGUGCUACUGUCCCUCUUAUUUGAACUUUUCCUUAUUGUUGUAAUGUUAUUUUCAGUUAUUAAUAAAAAACUAGGUCUAGGCGCUUGCUUAGUGGAUUGCUAAAAAAAAUAAAAUAAUUCAUGACUUGAACAUUUGGAGGCACUAUUUAUAUGGCGUAUCCUGUGAGGUGUUCUCGGAUCAUCUAAGUCUUCAACACUUUUUAUGCAGAAGGACCUCAAUUUGAGACAGCGGAGGUGGCUUGGGUUGCACAAGGAUUAUAAUAUUACCAUAUCGUAUCAUCCGGGGAAGGCCAAUGUAGUAGCC